rnacentral:rRNA from 1 species
CGGUAGCAGGAAGUGCUUGCACUUUGCUGACGAGUGGCGGACGGGUGAGUAAUACUUAGGAACAUGCCUUUGUGUGGGGGAUAACCAUUGGAAACGAUGGCUAAUACCGCAUAAUGUCUUUGGACCAAAGAGGGCUUUCGGGCUCUCGCGCAAAGAGUAGCCUAAGCGAGAUUAGCUUGUUGGUGAGGUAAAGGCUCACCAAGGCGACGAUCUCUAGCUGUUCUGAGAGGAAGAUCAGCCACACUGGAACUGAGACACGGUCCAGACUCCUACGGGAGGCAGCAGUGGGGAAUAUUGCACAAUGGGGGAAACCCUGAUGCAGCCAUGCCGCGUGUGUGAAGAAGGCCUUCGGGUUGUAAAGCACUUUCAGUUGUGAGGAAAGGUUAACGGUUAAUACCCGUUAGCUGUGACGUUAGCAACAGAAGAAGGACCGGCUAACUCCGUGCCAGCAGCCGCGGUAAUACGGAGGGUCCGAGCGUUAAUCGGAAUUACUGGGCGUAAAGCGCACGCAGGCGGUUUGUUAAGCUAGAUGUGAAAGCCCUGGGCUCAACCUGGGAAUUGCAUUUAGAACUGGCAGGCUAGAGUUUUGGAGAGGGGAGUGGAAUUCCAGGUGUAGCG